GCCUGCGCGUUAAUGAUCCUUCCGUAGGUGAACCUGCGGAAGGAUCAUUA
rnacentral:rRNA from 1 species